UAGUAGAAAUGCAUUGACUAG
rnacentral:miRNA from 1 species